AAUAAAUUUAUGACAUUCUAUUAUUAAGUUACUUUGUACUUCACUAGAUGGGGACAAUUAAAAGGAGUGUCCAAAAACUAUAAAAUUUAAUCCAAAACUUGAUCCGCAUUGCACAAAUACCUAUCACAAAAGACCAAAAAAAAAAUAAUGGUAGCUAGAUUCUUUUGUGUAAAACAUCUUCCUGGUAUAGACUAUAAAUAGAUGUCUUUGAAAUUAAAUAAACCACCCUCAGAGCUUGGCAGAGAAUACUAGGAAGUUUAAAAUGGUUGGUUAAUAUUCAUUCCAUAUUCUUAUUGACUGGACAUGCUUAUAGUAGUCUUAGAAAUAAAUCAAUUGAAAUUUCACUCAUUGGUAUUGAAAUUGAUAAAAAUAAAAACCCACUUACUUAAUAAGUGCAGGAUAAAUUUUUAAAGUGACAUUUGAUUUACAAUAUUAAGAGACCAUAGAUUUAUUAAGUUUGCCUUUUGCUAAAUAAGAAAUAGACGACAAUGGAAGCUGUAACACCACUCAUUGAGGGAGGUCAGUAUAUGUGUUUAUUGCAAACAAUGGUUUGACUUGCACAUGAUGCAUGCACUCUUGAAAAAAUAAAUACCAAGACUUCACACAAUUGAAAAUCUAUAGAAUUUAUUAGUAUCUGUUGAUUUUUUUUUUAAGUGUUUGAAAUUUACUUUAAUUACCGUGGAACUAUGUUUGGAAUGGAAAGGUAGGGUAAUGAUAGAUUACAGCUAGUCUAAGAAACAAAGGUAAUUUUUCAACAAAAAACAAAAAAAAGCAAG
rnacentral:misc_RNA from 1 species